CGGGGUGCACCAGGCGCGAAAACUUUGCAAUAAGCGAAAGCUUGACAGGGCUAUCCCGAGUGCCAUCCGCUGAGGAAGGCUUUUACCCAGUCUAGAACGCUGGGGGAAUAAGGAGAGGGCAAGUCUGGUGUCAGCCGCCGCGGUAAUACCAGCUCUCCGAGUGGUGUGGAUGUUUAUUGGGCCUAAAGCAUCCGUAGCUGGCUAAGUUAGUCCCUUGUUAAAUCCACCGAAUUAAUCGUUGGAUUGCGGGGGAUACUGCUUGGCUAGGGGACGAGAGAGGCAGACGGUAUUUCCGGGGUAGGGGUGAAAUCCUAUAAUCCCGGGAAGACCACCAGUGGCGAAGGCUGUCUGCUAGAACGCGCCCGACGGUGAGGGAUGAAAGCUGGGGGAGCGAACCGGAUUAGAUACCCGGGUAGUCCCAGCUGUAAACGAUGCAGGCUAGGUGUUUGGACGGCCACGUGCCGUUCUAGUGCCGCAGGGAAGCUGUUAAGCCUGCCGCCUGGGGAGUACGAUCGCAAGAUUGAAACUUAAAGGAAUUGGCGGGGGAGCAC
rnacentral:rRNA from 1 species